rnacentral:rRNA from 1 species
AGCGAACGUUAGCGGCGGGCCUAACACAUGCAAGUCGAACGCGAAAGGUCUUCGGACUGAGUAGAGUGGCGCACGGGUGAGUAACUCGUAGGUAAUCUACCCUUUGGCGGGGGAUAACGUUCCGAAAGGAGCGCUAAUACCGCAUAAGACCACGGAGUCUCCGGACGCUGUGGGAAAAGGUGGCCUCUUCUUGAAAGCUACCACCGAAGGAUGAGCCUGCGUCCCAUCAGCUAGUUGGUAAGGUAAUGGCUUACCAAGGCGAAGACGGGUAGCUGGUUUGAGAGAAUGAUCAGCCACACUGGCACUGGAACACGGGCCAGACUCCUACGGGAGGCAGCAGUGAGGAAUAUUGGGCAAUGGGCGAAAGCCUGACCCAGCCACGCCGCGUGAGUGAUGAAGGCCCUCGGGUCGUAAAGCUCUGUGGAGAGGGACGAAAACCCUGGUUUCAAAUAGGCUCCAGGCUUGACGGUACCUCUUUAGCAAGCACCGGCUAACUCUGUGCCAGCAGCCG